UACGAAGGGGGCUAGCGUUGCUCGGAAUUACUGGGCGUAAAGCGUGCGCAGGCGGCUUCUCAAGUCAGGGGUGAAAGCCCAGAGCUUAACUCUGGAAUUGCCUUUGAGACUGAGAGGCUUGAGUACGGGAGAGGUGAGUGGAAUUCCCAGUGUAGAGGUGAAAUUCGUAGAUAUUGGGAAGAACACCGGUGGCGAAGGCGGCUCACUGGCCCGUAACUGACGCUCAUGCACGACAGCGUGGGGAUCAAACAGG
rnacentral:rRNA from 1 species